AUUGAACGCUGGCGGCGUGCCUAAUACAUGCAAGUAGAACGCAGUUGCGGACGGGUGAGUAAUGCGUAGGUAACUGCCUAUUAGCGGGGGAAAACUAUUGGAAAGGAUAGCUAAUACCGCAUACUGUGCGAUGGACCUGCGUUGAAUUAGCUAGUUGUGGAGGUAAAGGCUCACCAAGGCGCAGAUACUUAGCCGGCCUGAGAGGGUGAUCGGCCACACGGGGACUGAGACACGGCCCAGACUCCUACGGGAGGCAGCAGUAGGGAAUCUUCGGCAAUUGACGGAAGUCUGACCGAGCCACGCCGCGUGAGUGAAGAAGGUUUUCGGAUCGUAAAGCUCUUUUGUUAGAGAAGCGGUAUCUAACCAGAAAGCCACGGCUAACUCCGUGCCAGCAGCCGCGGUAAUUC
rnacentral:rRNA from 1 species